GACGAACGCUGGCGGCGUGCUUAACACAUGCAAGUCGAGCGGUAAGGCCCUUUCGGGGGUACACGAGCGGCGAACGGGUGAGUAACACGUGGGUGACCUGCCCUUAGCUCUGGGAUAAGCCUGGGAAACUGGGUCUAAUACCGGAUAUGACUCCAUGACGCAUGUUGUGGGGUGGAAAGCCUUGUGCGGCUAGGGAUGGGCCCGCGGCCUAUCAGCUUGUUGGUGGGGUGANGGCCUACCAAGGCGACGACGGGUAGCCGGCCUGAGAGGGCGACCGGCCACACUGGGACUGAGACACGGGCCCAGACUCCUACGGGAGGCAGCAGUGGGGAAUCUUGCGCAAUGGGGCGAAAGCCUGACGCAGCGACGCCGCGUGGGGGA
rnacentral:rRNA from 1 species